UACGUAGGGGGCUAGCGUUGUCCGGAUUUAUUGGGCGUAAAGAGCGUGUAGGCGGCCAGAUAGGUCUGCUGUGAAAACUCGAGGCUCAACCUCGAGAUGUCGGCGGAAACCAUUUGGCUAGAGUCCGGAAGAGGAAAGUGGAAUUCCUGGUGUAGCGGUGAAAUGCGCAGAUAUCAGGAGGAACACCAAUGGCGAAGGCAGCACUCUGGGACGUGACUGACGCUGAGACGCGAAAGCGUGGGGAGCAAACAGG
rnacentral:rRNA from 1 species